rnacentral:rRNA from 1 species
GACGAACGCUGGCGGCGUGCUUAACACAUGCAAGUCGAGCGGUAAGGCCCUUUCGGGGGUACACGAGCGGCGAACGGGUGAGUAACACGUGGGUGACCUGCCCUUAGCUCUGGGAUAAGCCUGGGAAACUGGGUCUAAUACCGGAUAUGACUCCAUGACGCAUGUUGUGGGGUGGAAAGCCUUGUGCGGCUAGGGAUGGGCCUGCGGCCUAUCAGCUUGUUGGUGGGGUGAUGGCCUACCAAGGCGACGACGGGUAGCCGGCCUGAGAGGGCGACCGGCCACACUGGGACUGAGACACGGCCCAGACUCCUACGGGAGGCAGCAGUGGGGAAUCUUGCGCAAUGGGCGAAAGCCUGACGCAGCGACGCCGCGUGGGGAUGACGGCCUGG